rnacentral:rRNA from 1 species
UACGGAGGAGGCAAGCGUUAUCCGGAAUGAUUGGGCGUAAAGCGUCCGUAGGUGGCUAUUCAAGUCUGCUGUUAAAGCGCAGGGCUUAACCCUGUAAAGGCGGUGGAAACUGGAGAGCUAGAGUGUGGUAGGGGUAGAGGGAAUUCCCGGUGUAGCGGUGAAAUGCGUAGAGAUCGGGAAGAACACCAGUGGCGAAAGCGCUCUACUGGGCCACAACUGACACUGAUGGACGAAAGCUAGGGGAGCGAAUGGG